rnacentral:rRNA from 1 species
UACGGGGGGGGCAAGCGUUGUUCGGAAUUACUGGGCGUAAAGGGCUCGUAGGUGGCCAACUAAGUCGGACGUGAAAUCCCUCAGCUUAACUGGGGAACUGCGUCCGAUAUUGGAUGGCUUGAGUUUGGGAGAGGGAUGCGGAAUUCCAGGUGUAGCGGUGAAAUGCGUAGAUAUCUGGAGGAACACCGGUGGCGAAGGCGGCAUCCUGGACCAAAACUGACACUGAGGAGCGAAAGCCAGGGGAGCAAACGGG